GUUUAAUGUAUAAGAUUUAGUGCCCUACAAAUCUUCACAGCAGCUGACAGCUUCCUUGCUGUUCGAAGAGAUGAGCGUGGAAGAUGGAAAAUAAAGGUCUCCCUAGGGAGAGCAGAUGGGGUGAGAAUGAUGAGGGAAAGGGAUUUAUCAUGAGAUGAUUUGAGCUGAGAUUUAGAGUGAAAAUUACCAAACAAGAUAGGGACUUACAGAUGUCACUUCUACAAACCAAGACAAUCAAUAAGGACUUAAACACCAGAUUCCAGCAAAGAAGGAAAACUGAUUUCUUGGCUAUAGAAAACUACUCUGGAGUUUAACUUGCUUUACCAUACACACAAAUGUAGUUUGGGAAGUGUGAGGGACUGGAUGGGAGGAGGUAAAAGGAACUGCAAUGCUCUGAGAAACCUGAAAAAGUACAAGCGCAAACUCUGUGUCUUUCAGAAAAAAAAGUCAUCCAAAGAGGAGCUGAAACACAAAACACUCCUCAGACUACUUUCUGAUCUUUCCUUACUUUCUGAUCUUUCCUUAGGUUCAGAGAAUAUCUUCAUAUAUGCUAGCAAUCAGUUAGUCACAGCCACAGUGCUGGUUUCUCUCAUGGUUAAUCUCUGCCUUACCUCCAGCUCUAGCCUUACAGUGAAGUCAUGUUAAAUCUCUGACAUCGCAAUAACUUCCAUAGCAACAGAGCACAGUGUCCUAAACACAGGAUUAGGUGCUCAGGCAGAGCUGCAUAAAGGAGGAAAUCAAGUUGUGAGGGCAAGGGCUGUCAGCUGGAUGCACACAAGACACCUGCCUGUCCUGCUUGACUGAAGGAAGAGCAAAGCAGUGGUGGUAAAAGCUGGAGAACUGAGAGCCAAGUUGGUGAUUCACUUUGUGGCACUCCAGGGAGGGGUUGCUGGAGUCCUGCUAUCCUUCACCACUAAAGGCAAUUUUGGUCUGGCUUCCUUCUGCCGAAGUGCUACAUACUUGAGCUGUCUGUGCUAUCCCCCGGUAGGCUAGGCUUGAGCACUGACAGAAACAGCACCAUAGCUAAGCAAGGCUAUAACGCUUCCUGUACUCGAUGCACUUCAGCCAAAUUCAGGGGAGAUUCAUGGUACCUGGACACAGUCACCUUAACUGAGCUGAUAAAAUUAGGAGCCCAGAUGCCCUGGAGAGUCUCUAGGGAGAGGUGGGUGCAUCCAGAAGAUGACUGAGACUUUCAUGAACCUGUGCUAUUGCCAAAAUGGAUGGAAGAAGAAGACACUUUCAGAUACAAGUCUCAUCUAGAUGCCUGGUGCAAUGUCCAGGAGUGGACACAUUGAACAAAAGCAAACCCUAAUGUACUGAUGCAGGCAAUAAAGCCAUGUACAGAUGCAGCUUAGCAGCAGGAAGCUGCUCAGGUGCAUUUUUCAAGUUACUGAACUUUUUUGUCUAUCUGCACUGAGUCUUCACCAACACAGAUACUGAGCACUGAACUCUCAGGUAUGGACCUUUCGAAUCUUCUGUGCAGAGGCACUUC